GUGCUCACUUCGGCAGCACGAAUACUAAAACUGGAACAAUACAGAAAAUAUUAGCAUGGCCCAUGUGCAAGGAAUAGCUUUGCAAUUUAAAACAUUACUUGAUUUUU